UGUGUGUGUGUGUGUGUGUGUGUGUGUGCGCGUGUGUGUGUGUGUGCGCACAUGCACACACACACACGUUCUCUCU
rnacentral:miRNA from 1 species